AAACAGAGAGCAAAAGCUCUCUCUCUCAGGCUUGUAAUCCGGCCGUGGCCACUGCCGUAGCGCCACCGUGGACGGUGGCCGGCGUUGCGCGAAAGGAGCGUUUCAGCCCCGUUUCAAAGCACACACGAAGGCCAGGCCCUCUUAGUCCGAAAAAAGCCCAAAAGAAUAAACCCUUCACCACCCUUUUUAACUCGAUUCAGGCGACUAAAGGGGACUUCCGGCGCCGAGGCCUCGUGAUCCUUUAGGUGAGUCCCUCUUCCUUUUUAUUCUAUUAUUUAGUAUGUAAAAGAAAAAAAAUUAAAAUAAAAUAGAAAAAAAUUAAAAUGAUUCGAAACAAGAAAGUAAAAUCUUCUCAAUUCUGCUCUGUUUUUGUUUUUUUUUAUUUAAUGUUCGUGAAGAAAAAAAAAAGGGAGGGGAGAACCCCGGUACAAGUGAUUUGCUAUGGCUUUAUAGCCAUUUUUACAUGAUUUUUUUUUUAUCUAUUUUGCUUGUCACUUCUGCCUUAAUUUCUUGCAGGUGGAGCAGGUAAGGACGGAUGUGACCGUGGCGGUGCAAGUGGCGGUGGCAGAGGAGUUGAUGAGCGGCAGAGGGUAGGUGCGGCGCUAGGGUUAGGUGCAAUAGAGGCUAGGGUUUUUUGAAAAUGUUUUAGUUUUGGGCUUGUUGGGCCUUUAGUUUUUUUGGGCUGUAAUUUUAUUGUUUUGAGUUAGGUCUGUUUUAGGGUAUUGGGUUUGAUUUAAGGUUUGGGUAGCUGGGUUUUUGGGCCCCGGGCAAAUUUGGGCUUGUACAGUGUGUAUAUAUAUACACCAUACUAAUUUAAAAUUAUAGUUAUUGAAUGUGAUAUCAUUAAGAAAUUAUAGUAAUAAAUUAUUUGUAUUGUUGGAUGACCCUCAAAAUUUAAUAAGGAUGGCCAUAAAUGAACCGACCUUAGCAAAAUCUUGGACCAAACCUAGCGUUUGGUCUCAACAAAAGAAAGUAAUAUGUUUAAAUUGAAUGAUUAAGAAAGGGAAAUCACACUAAGUAUUUGCCAAUCUCCAUGUAAUUACCUACCCGACCAAACCCCAUAAUGUUGAGUAAAUCCGCUUAACUAAAAGCCCACAUAGCCCCCCC
rnacentral:lncRNA from 1 species